rnacentral:rRNA from 1 species
GACGAACGCUGGCGGCGUGCCUAAUACAUGCAAGUCGAACGCAUUUUCUGUCACCGUUGCUUGCUACACCGAGAGAAAAGGAGUGGCGAACGGGUGAGAACCACGUGGGUAACUUGCCCAGCAGCGGGGGAGAACACUUGGAAACAGGACCUAAUACCGCAUAAUUCCAUUAACCGCAUGGGAAAUGGAUGAAAGGGGCUUUUUCGGCCGAGAUGGAUGUAGCCGCGGGGCGUUGGCUAGUUGGUGGGGUAAGGGCCUACCAAGGCUGGGAGGCAUAUCCGGCCUGAGAGGGUGAUCGCCCCCACUGGGAAUGUGACACGGCCCCCACUCCUCCGGGGGGCGCCAGUAGGGGAUCUUCGGCAAUGGGCGCGAGACUGUCCGCGCAACGCCGCGUGAGUGUGGAGGGUUUUCGGGUCGUGAAACUCUGUUGUGAGGGAAGAGCAAGGAUGCGAGUGGAAAGUUCAUCCCUUGACGGUAUCUAAACAGAAAGCCACGGCUAACUACGUG